rfam:Gossypium arboreum cultivar AKA8401 contig_66590_1, whole genome shotgun sequence.
AACCCAUGGUGAGGGAAUCUUCACAGAAGGUCCUUGUAUCUCUCCCAUGCUUCGUAAAGUGUUUCUAAAUCUAUCUGUAGAAAAGAGGAGAUAUCAUUAUGUAAUU